AACAGGCUCCUGCCGGGGUGGCUCGGGAUCAGCUGCUGUAGCGGGGGCUCAACCUGCGCUAGCGGAGGAGGUCCCGGUAACUCCCUUCUCUCCUCUUACCUUCGCUGGGCAGCUACGAGAGCCUCCACCAUCUCGAAUAGUCCAUCUAAAUCUUUCCGAAGUGAAUUAUCUGGGGCCGCUCGGUUUAGUGGGGGCCUUCCUCUCCUCAUUCCCGUGUACCUGUAUUCACAAGGAAUGAUUGAGUAACGAUAUAUCGGUGAGUAUUUCUCUAAGGCACUAUUGUGUAAGGGAUGGGUCCGAGGAAAUGCGGCUCUGAUACCAACUGUAACGACCCCGGAAUUUUAAAAUGAAUUGUAUAUUAAAAAUAUCAAAUGCGGAAGCGAAGUCAAAAAUUGGAUUAACAUCCCUUACACUAAAACCCAAAAACGUGCUUACAAAAUAUAAAAGAUCAACUACCUAAAGGAGAAACUUGAAAGUAAAAGCUACGAAUAUGACUAUGGAGUCUUUAGGUGUCCCCUUCGUCGUCCUCCUGCGGAACCGGCUCGGGAACAAUGUCUUCCUGAUCUG
rnacentral:lncRNA from 1 species